UACAGAGGAGCCAAGCGUUGUCCGGAUUGACUGGGCGUAAAGCGCACGCAGGCGGACGUGCGCGUGGGGUGUGAAAUCUGGCCGCUUAACGGCCAGGCGCCAUCCCAUACGGCGUGUCUGGAGUGAUGCAGAGGUCGAUGGAAUUGCCGGUGUAGUGGUGAAAUGCGUAGAGAUCGGCAGGAACACCCAGGGGGAAACCAGUCGACUGGGCAUCUACUGACGCUGAGGUGCGAGAGCGUGGGGAGCGAACCGG
rnacentral:rRNA from 1 species